GCCUGAGUGGCUCAGUCAGUUAAGCAUCCAACUUGGACUUAGCUCAUGAUCUCACAGUUUGUGGGUUCGAGCCCCACAUCGGGCU
rnacentral:tRNA from 1 species